UGCAGUCGAGCGGAAGGCCCUUCGGGGUACUCGAGCGGCGAACGGGUGAGUAACACGUGAGUAACCUGCCCUAGGCUUUGGGAUAACCCCGGGAAACCGGGGCUAAUACCGGAUAUGACUGCUGGUCGCAUGGCUGGUGGUGGAAAGUUUUUCGGCCUGGGAUGGGCUCGCGGCCUAUCAGCUUGUUGGUGGGGUGAUGGCCUACCAAGGCGACGACGGGUAGCCGGCCUGAGAGGGCGACCGGCCACACUGGGACUGAGACACGGCCCAGACUCCUACGGGAGGCAGCAGUGGGGAAUAUUGCACAAUGGGCGGAAGCCUGAUGCAGCGACGCCGCGUGAGGGAUGACGGCCUUCGGGUUGUAAACCUCUUUCAGCAGGGACGAAGCGUGAGUGACGGUACCUGCAGAAGAAGCGCCGGCCAACUACGUGCCAGCAGCCGCGGUAAGACGUAGGGCGCGAGCGUUGUCCGGAUUUAUUGGGCGUAAAGAGCUCGUAGGCGGCUUGUCGCGUCGACCGUGAAAACUUGGGGCUCAACCCCAAGCCUGCGGUCGAUACGGGCAGGCUAGAGUUCGGUAGGGGAGACUGGAAUUCCUGGUGUAGCGGUGAAAUGCGCAGAUAUCAGGAGGAACACCGGUGGCGAAGGCGGGUCUCUGGGCCGAUACUGACGCUGAGGAGCGAAAGCGUGGGGAGC
rnacentral:rRNA from 2 species